UCGAACGAUGAACCGCAUUUCGGGCGGGGAUUAGUGGCGAACGGGUGAGUAACACGUGGGCAAUCUGCCCUGCACUCUGGGACAAGCCCUGGAAACGGGGUCUAAUACCGGAUAUGACCGUCUGCCGCAUGGUGGAUGGUGUAAAGCUCCGGCGGUGCAGGAUGAGCCCGCGGCCUAUCAGCUUGUUGGUGAGGUAGUGGCUCACCAAGGCGACGACGGGUAGCCGGCCUGAGAGGGCGACCGGCCACACUGGGACUGAGACACGGCCCAGACUCCUACGGGAGGCAGCAGUGGGGAAUAUUGCACAAUGGGCGAAAGCCUGAUGCAGCGACGCCGCGUGAGGGAUGACGGCCUUCGGGUUGUAAACCUCUUUCAGCAGGGAAGAAGCGAAAGUGACGGUACCUGCAGAAGAAGCGCCGGCUAACUACGUGCCAGCAGCCGCGGUAAUACGUAGGGCGCAAGCGUUGUCCGGAAUUAUUGGGCGUAAAGAGCUCGUAGGCGGCUUGUCACGUCGGUUGUGAAAGCCCGGGGCUUAACCCCGGGUCUGCAGUCGAUACGGGCAGGCUAGAGUUCGGUAGGGGAGAUCGGAAUUCCUGGUGUAGCGGUGAAAUGCGCAGAUAUCAGGAGGAACACCGGUGGCGAAGGCGGAUCUCUGGGCCGAUACUGACGCUGAGGAGCGAAAGCGUGGGGA
rnacentral:rRNA from 2 species